UGCGGGGUGGUGUAGGGUUGCACGAGAGGCUCAUAAUCUCUUUGACCAGGUUCGAUUUCCUGGCCCCGCAA
rnacentral:tRNA from 1 species